GGGGAAGGAUAUUCUGGUUAGGGUGUUGACUCCCAGUCAAAAGGUUCUGGGUUCGAUCCCCAGUGUCCCCA